AGAGUUUGAUCCUGGCUCAGAUUGAACGCUGGCGGCAUGCUUUACACAUGCAAGUCGAACGGCAGCAUAGGUGCUUGCACCUGAUGGCGAGUGGCGGACGGGUGAGUAAUGCAUCGGGACGUGUCCGGAAGAGGGGGAUAACUGUUCGAAAGAACAGCUAAUACCGCAUAAUAUCCGAGGAAGAAAGCUGGGGACCUUAGGGCCUGGCGCUUACGGGGCGACCGAUGUCUGAUCAGCUAGUUGGUGGGGUAAAAGCCUACCAAGGCGACGAUCAGUAGCUGGUCUGAGAGGACGACCAGCCACACUGGGACUGAGAAACGGCCCAGACUCCUACGGGAGGCAGCAGUGGGGAAUUUUGGACAAUGGGGGCAACCCUGAUCCAGCAAUGCCGCGUGUCUGAAGAAGGCCUUCGGGUUGUAAAGGACUUUUGUUGGGGAGCAAGGUGCACAGGUUAAGAGCUAGUGUACUUGAGAGUACCCAAAGAAUAAGGACCGGCUAACUACGUGCCAGCAGCCGCGGUAAUACGUAGGGUCCAAGCGUUAAUCGGAAUUACUGGGCGUAAAGAGUGCGCAGGCGGCUUUGUAAGCUUGAUGUGAAAUCCCCGGGCUCAACCUGGGAACUGCAUUGAGGACUGCAAGGCUAGAGUGUAGCAGAGGGGGGUAGAAUUCCACGUGUAGCAGUGAAAUGCGUAGAGAUGUGGAGGAAUACCGAUGGCGAAGGCAGCCCCCUGGGUUAACACUGACGCUCAUGCACGAAAGCGUGGGGAGCAAACAGGAUUAGAUACCCUGGUAGUCC
rnacentral:rRNA from 1 species